ensembl:processed_transcript
GUUCUUUCAUUUUGGUUAUAAGUACAUGUUACAGGUGUGUUGGUGUAAAAAUUGAUGCUGACUGAACUCAGGCAGUUGUGCUGGACCCUCUGUACCGUAUACAGGAGAUGACUGUAAACUUUCAAGUUUAAGAGGUGUGUUGGUGUAAAAAGUGAUGCUGACUGAACUCGGCAGUUGUGCUGGACCCUCUGUACCUUAUACAGGAGAUGACGGUAAACUUUGAAGUUUAAGAGGUUCUGUAAUUUUGGUUAUAAGUACAAGAACUCAGGCAGUUGUGCUGGACCAUCUGUACCUAAUACAGGGGAUGACAGUAAACUUCCAAGUUUAAGAG